rnacentral:rRNA from 1 species
UACAGAGGGGGCAAGCGUUGUUCGGAAUUACUGGGCGUAAAGGGCUCGUAGGCGGCCAACUAAGUCAGACGUGAAAUCCCUCGGCUUAACCGGGGAACUGCAUCUGAUACUGGAUGGCUUGAAUCCGGGAGAGGGAUGCAGAAUUCCAGGUGUAGCGGUGAAAUGCGUAGAUAUCUGGAGGAAUACCGGUGGCGAAGGCGGCAUCCUGGACCGGCAUUGACGCUGAGGAGCGAAAGCCAGGGGAGCAAACGGG